UAACACGUGGGUAACCUACCUAUAAGACUGGGAUAACUCCGGGAAACCGGGGCUAAUACCGGAUAACACAUGAAACCGCAUGGUUUCAUGAUGAAAGACGGUUUUGCUGUCACUUAUAGAUGGACCCGCGGCGUAUUAGCUAGUUGGUAAGGUAACGGCUUACCAAGGCAACGAUACGUAGCCGACCUGAGAGGGUGAUCGGCCACACUGGAACUGAGACACGGUCCAGACUCCUACGGGAGGCAGCAGUAGGGAAUCUUCCGCAAUGGGCGAAAGCCUGACGGAGCAACGCCGCGUGAGUGAUGAAGGUCUUCGGAUCGUAAAACUCUGUUAUUAGGGAAGAACAAGGAUGUAAGUAACUAUGCAUCCCUUGACGGUACCUAAUCAGAAAGCCACGGCUAACUACGUGC
rnacentral:rRNA from 1 species